rnacentral:rRNA from 1 species
UAUGAGGGGGGCGAGCGUUGUUCGGAAUUAUUGGGCGUAAAGGGUGCGUAGGCGGUUUGGUAAGUCUUAUGUGAAAUCUAUGGGCUCAACUCAUAGUCUGCAUGAGAAACUGCCGGGCUUGAGUAUGGGAGAGGUGAGUGGAAUUCCUGGUGUAGCGGUGAAAUGCGUAGAUAUCAGGAGGAACACCUGUGGCGAAAGCGGCUCACUGGACCAUAACUGACGCUGAUGCACGAAAGCUAGGGGAGCAAACAGG